rnacentral:lncRNA from 1 species
GAUGCGCGAGGACAUCGCGGCGCUGCGCCGCGAGCACGGGCGCGCGCCCCUGCGGAACCGCGGCAAGCUGUGGGAGAUGGACAAUCUGCUCAUCCAGAUCAAGACGCAGGUGGAGGCGUCGGAGGAGAGCGCCCUGAACCACCUGCCGGGCGCCGGCGGCGCGGCCAGGCCCGACAGGGCCGACGAGAAGGCGCGCGAGGCGGCCAAGAUGGCCGAGAUGCUGGUGGAGCUGGUGCGGCGGAUAGAGCGGAGCGAGUCGUCGUGAGCGCGGCGCGGUGUGCAGCCGCGGACGUGGUCGGGUCUGGAGAUGGCUGACACCCGGAGAAGCUGAAGCCAGAGCGCCUUCGUUUUUCUCUUUUCCUGUCUACUCUGUCCUCACUUUCGCUCCGUUUCUGCGUGGUCUGCGGUUGUGACCUCAAGACGAGUUUCCGCCUGUGCGGCGUUUCCGUGUCGGGGGAGGUAGCUGUGUUUAUUGUUGGGAAAACGCCCUCGCCCGCGGGGAUGGCGGCCGGGCCGGGCCGUGGGUGGUGGUUCCGAGUGGCGGCUGCCUCGUCGCUCUCGCGAGACCCGCGAGCUCCCUGGAACUUCGGGGCCGCGCGCGGGAGCCCCGGGGUGGAAGUCCUCGGGGGCGGCGGCCGCUGGCCCGGGGACUGUCACUUCUGUGAGACCAAAGGAGGAGAGAUGUAUUUUCUAAACGUGAGUUCCCUGGGGUCCUCGGCCGCUGUCCCCCUCUGCGUGUGCGUGGACGACCAUCUCCACUCGCUGCCCUGUGCUCGCCGUCGGGGCAGGGGUGGGCGAGGGUGA